rnacentral:rRNA from 1 species
UUGAACGCUGGCGGCAUGCUUUACACAUGCAAGUCGAACGGUAACAGGCCUUCGGGUGCUGACGAGUGGCGACCGGGUGAGUAAUGCAUCGGAACGUACCCAGAGGUGGGGGAUAACGCAGCGAAAGCUGUGCUAAUACCGCAUGUGAUCUGAGGAUGAAAGCGGGGGACCGAGCAGCAAUGUUUGGCCUCGCGCCUUUGGAGCGGCCGAUGUCGGAUUAGCUAGUUGGUGGGGUAAAGGCCUACCAAGGCGACGAUCCGUAGCUGGUCUGAGAGGACGACCAGCCACACUGGGACUGAGACACGGCCCAGACUCCUACGGGAGGCAGCAGUGGGGAAUUUUGGACAAAGGGCGCAAGCCUGAUCCAGCAAUGCCGCGUGCGGGAAGAAGGCCUUCGGGUUGUAAACCGCUUUUGGCAGGAACGAAACGGUGUCCGCUAAUACCGGGCGCUAAUGACGGUACCUGCAGAAUAAGCACCGGCUAACUACGUG